AACGAACGCUGGCGGCAGGCUUAACACAUGCAAGUCGAACGCAUGCCUUCGGGCAUGAGUGGCAGACGGGUGAGUAACGCGUGGGAACCUACCCCUUGGUACGGGAUAGAUCCGGGAAACUGGAGAUAAUACCGUAUGUGUCCUGAGGGAAAAAGAUUCAUAGCCAAGGGAUGGGCUCACGUGGGAAUAGCUAGUUGGUGGGGUAACGGCCUUCCAAGGCGACGAUGCGUAGCUGGUCUAAGAGGAUGAUCAGCCACAUUGGGACAGAGACACGUUCCGAACUCCUACGAGAGGGAGCAAGGGGGAAGAUGCGACAACGGGCGCAAGCCUGAUCCAGCCAUGCCGCAUGAGUGAUGAAGGCCCUAAGGUUGUAAAGCUCUGUCACCGGUGACGAUAAUGACGGUAACCAGAGAAGAAGCCCCGGCUAACUUCGU
rnacentral:rRNA from 1 species